rnacentral:rRNA from 1 species
AAUAGAUACCCAGGUAGUCCACGCCGUAAACGAUGAGUGCUAAGUGUUAGAGGGUUUCCGCCCUUUAGUGCUGCAGCAAACGCAUUAAGCACUCCGCCUGGGGAGUACGGUCGCAAGACUGAAACUCAAAGGAAUUGACGGGGGCCCGCACAAGCGGUGGAGCAUGUGGUUUAAUUCGAAGCAACGCGAAGAACCUUACCAGGUCUUGACAUCCCGUGACAACUCUAGAGAUAGGGCUUUCCCCUUCGGGGGACACGGUGACAGGUGGUGCAUGGUUGUCGUCAGCUCGUGUCGUGAGAUGUUGGGUUAAGUCCCGCAACGAGCGCAACCCUUGAUCUUAGUUGCCAGCAUUCAGUUGGGCACUCUAAGGUGACUGCCGGUGGCAAACCGGAGGAAGGUGGGGAUGACGUCAAAUCAUCAUGCCCCUUAUGACCUGGGCUACACACGUGCUACAAUGGAUGGUACAAAGGGCAGCGAAACCGCGAGGUUAAGCAAAUCCCAUAAAACCAUUCUCAGUUCGGAUUGCAGGCUGCAACCG